UCUUUGGACUGUUCAUUCGGGAACGAGAGAUACUGCAGCUCGAUCAGAGACAAGAGUACCUGCACGUACAUAUGCUAUCCGGGCAAGGGAAGAAGCUUCUGCUCCAGAUGUGAUAGCUGAUCAAGAAUCCAAAGAAGAACGAGGAAAAGAAAAAGUUGCGGAAUAGUCCCUAAAUUUCAAUAUCUUCUACAAAUUAGCCGGAUUGACUUGAAGUGAAGUGGGUAGAUCGGAUCAACACAACAAAGCACACUAUCCAGAUCAAUUCCGUAGCUUUUUUUUUAUGUUUGAAGAUUUAUAUGGCAUGUAUAGAGUUUAAAUGAAAUGAAGUAAAGAUGUUAUAAACUAGUUAACAACAUUUUGUACUAAAAUAGUUUUUGGUUAGUAGCAGUAGUCUGAGUUUGAAAAUUCACCAUAAAUCAUAAAAAUAUAAUUAUAGGUUGAAUAAAAUAUGAAAUUAAAUCUUAUUGAAUCUAGUUUCACAUAGAAGAAA